rnacentral:lncRNA from 1 species
UCCUAAGCACUUGCUACGCUGCUAAUCUUGGUACGGGUGAAAAAAUGCAAGGAAUAGCAUAGCAGCUUCAUUUUGAAUUCAGAAUAUUGUAUUGAGUCAUGUUUACUCAAAAAAUGGAGUACUUUUUUUUUUCUGUCAUGCCAAAGCCAAAAUAAAUACAUUCAAAGUGUGAAGGCCUAGAUGCUAAACUUUUCCUUUCUUUCUGUUGUAUUCUAUUUGUCCACUUUUUCUCUUUUCCAAAGGUGUUGAAAGCAAUAUGCUAUUGUUGUCAUUGGACUAAAUGCGAUAUUAUUAAUAGGCCAUGCCUCCUCCAGCAAAAUGAGACUCACCUCACAAGCUUGGGUGGUAAAAAUUUCCUUGGGAGCCUCAUGAACCGUGACACGUACAUAGCAAAUAACUAAUAGGCUUGCAUAGACUUGGAUUUCCACCCUGUCCCACAAUUCUGCAAUUUUUUUGUUUUGGAUUUUAAAUUCCAGUACAUUGUUGCCCUGCAUAAUGUGUCAUGAAAGCUUCAAAUUAACAUGUAAUAAUAAAUUUUGUACUACCACCUUACCCUACUCGAAUUUGUCCCCAUGCAAAACAAAGGCAAUAUUUGAUGCAGUUGCUAAACUCAAAAACAAAAGUUCAGUUACCAAUAUGUCUGCCCAGGAAUAGUACAAUGAAUUAUUUGAUUCAAACCUCCUUAUACGACUUCAUAUGAUGGGAACAUUUAAUAUUCUGCUUCACUACUAACGACUGGUGAUGGGGAAACCCUCUAGUCCCUCCUAUAUGGGAAAUUGGAAAAGGUAUUAAGCUGUUUGAAGAUUGAGG